UACGUAGGGACCAAGCGUUGUCCGGAAUCAUUGGGCGUAAAGAGCGUGUAGGCGGCUUGUUAAGUCUUGCGUGAAAUCUCGGGGCUCAACCCCGAGCGGUCGUGAGAAACUGGCAGGCUAGAGUGCGGGAGAGGAGAGUGGAAUUCCUGGUGUAGCGGUGAAAUGCGCAGAUAUCAGGAGGAACACCGGUGGCGAAGGCGGGACUCUGGGCCGAUACUGACGCUGAGGAGCGAAAGCGUGGGGAGCAAACAGG
rnacentral:rRNA from 1 species